rnacentral:rRNA from 1 species
AGCGAACGCUGGCGGCAGGCUUAACACAUGCGAGUCGAGCGGGCAUCCUUGUGGUGUCAGCGGCAGACGGGUGAGUAACGCGUGGGAACGUGCCCUUCGGUUCGGAAUAACUCAGGGAAACUUGAGCUAAUACCGGAUACGUGCGAGAGCAGAAAGGUUUAUCUGCCGAAGGAUCGGCCCGCGUCUGAUUAGCUAGUUGGUGAGGUUAUGGCUCACCAAGGCGACGAUCAGUAGCUGGUCUGAGAGGAUGAUCAGCCACACUGGGACUGAGACACGGCCCAGACUCCUACGGGAGGCAGCAGUGGGGAAUAUUGGACAAUGGGGGCAACCCUGAUCCAGCCAUGCCGCGUGAGUGAUGACGGCCUUAGGGUUGUAAAGCUCUUUUCUUCGGGACGAUAAUGACGGUACCGGAGGAAUAAGCCCCGGCUAACUUCGUG